rnacentral:rRNA from 1 species
GACGAACGCUGGCGGCGUGCCUAAUACAUGCAAGUUGAGCGCUGAAGGUUGGUACUUGUACCGACUGGAUGAGCAGCGAACGGGUGAGUAACGCGUGGGGAAUCUGCCUUUGAGCGGGGGACAACAUUUGGAAACGAAUGCUAAUACCGCAUAACAACUUUAAACACAAGUUUUAAGUUUUAAAGAUGCAAUUGCAUCACUCAAAGAUGAUCCCGCGUUGUAUUAGCUAGUUGGUGAGGUAAAGGCUCACCAAGGCGAUGAUACAUAGCCGAACUGAGAGGGUGAUCGGCCACAUUGGGACUGAGACACGGCACAAACUCCUACGGGAGGCAGCAGUAGGGAAUCUUCGGCAAUGGACGAAAGUCUGACCGAGCAACGCCGCGUGAGUGAAGAAGGUUUUCGGAUCGUAAAACUCUGUUGGUAGAGAAGAACGUUGGUGAGAGUGGAAAGCUCAUCAAGUGACGGUAACUACCCAGAAAGGGACGGCUAACUACGUGCCAGCAGCCGCAGUAA